UGGGGAAUUUUGGACAAUGGGCGCAAGCCUGAUCCAGCCAUGCCGCGUGCGGGAAGAAGGCCUUCGGGUUGUAAACCGCUUUUGGCAGGAACGAAACGGCGCGAGCCAAUACCUCGCGCUAAUGACGGUACCUGCAGAAUAAGCACCGGCUAACUACGUGCCAGCAGCCGCGGUAAUACGUAGGGUGCAAGCGUUAAUCGGAAUUACUGGGCGUAAAGCGUACGCAGGCGGCUUUGCAAGACAGGUGUGAAAUCCCCGGGCCUAACCUGGGAACUGCAUUUGUGACUGCAUGGCUAGAGUCUGUCAGAGGGGGGUGGAAUUCCACGUGUAGCAGUGAAAUGCGUAGAGAUGUGGAAGAACACCGAUGGCGAAGGCAGCCCCCUGGGAUGAGACUGACGCUCAUGUACGAAAGCGUGGGGAGCAAACAGGAUUAGAUACCCUGGUAGUCCACGCCCUAAACGAUGUCGACUAGUUGUCGGGUCUUUACGGACUUGGUAACGCAGCUAACGCGUGAAGUCGACCGCCUGGGGAGUACGGUCGCAAGAUUA
rnacentral:rRNA from 1 species